UAAUUUGCACAAGAUCACAAAGCCAGUAAAUUGGGGAGCCAGUAUUUGGCAGCAGUCUUUAAAAGCCUAUGGCUAUGGGGCGUUUUGUUUGAGGGUGUCCUCUCAACCAACAUAGGAAUGUGGAGAGGAGCAGAGACAUCUUGGUCAUUUUGAAAUGAUCAGUGAUUAACAAUGUGUUGCAUAAAUGGAGAGGAACAAGAGGAGUGGAUGGAAGCUUGUUUAUUGAACGUACAUCCUAGGCACUUUACAACCAGGCCAUGCCUCCUCUUGCAUCAAAGACUGGCUUUGUGGGAUUCCUCUCCACCCCAAUCUCUGCUACCAACUUGAAUAACCUCAUGAACAACCUGUUCAACACUGUAGAAGAAGAAAGACAUCUGUUGUUUUUGCUGGCCAGCAUACAUUGACUCUUCUGGGAACAACACUCCAUUUUUGUUUGGAUGAAAAUCCUCCAGCUGAAUAUGGGACUCAGGUCUGACCAAUCCCAGCAAUGCAUGCCUGUGAUCAUAGUGAUUGGUUCAAAGAUGGGAAUGUGACCCGAAUUUGGACCAAUCAGAAUAAGGCCCAGGAUUAAAGCUUAGUUAGGCUUAUUCUUUUCUACUCUGUCUUGGACUGAUGAGGAUGAAAGCCUGAAGUUGCUGGAAGCUGUUUUGCUACCACUAGAGAGGCGUUUACCAGAGAUCGGAGUGCACACAGAGAACAGAGGAGCUGAAAGAUGGAGAGAGUCCAGAUCCUAAUGACAUCAUGAGAGCUGUGCCUGAAGCUAAAUUAUCCCUUGACUUUUUAAGAACAAAGCCUUCUACAUUCCCUUUCCAAGUUUGAUUUGGGUUUUCUAUCAAUUGCAAAUAAAAGAGAUUUGAUGGAGUCAAA